UGGGGAAUAUUGCACAAUGGGCGGAAGCCUGAUGCAGCGACGCCGCGUGGGGGAUGACGGCCUUCGGGUUGUAAACUCCUUUCGACAGGGACGAAGCUUUUUGUGACGGUACCUGUAUAAGAAGCACCGGCUAACUACGUGCCAGCAGCCGCGGUAAUACGUAGGGUGCGAGCGUUGUCCGGAAUUACUGGGCGUAAAGAGCUCGUAGGUGGUUUGUCGCGUCGUCUGUGAAAUUCCGGGGCUUAACUUCGGGCGUGCAGGCGAUACGGGCAUAACUUGAGUGCUGUAGGGGAGACUGGAAUUCCUGGUGUAGCGGUGAAAUGCGCAGAUAUCAGGAGGAACACCGAUGGCGAAGGCAGGUCUCUGGGCAGUUACUGACGCUGAGGAGCGAAAGCAUGGGUAGCAAACAGG
rnacentral:rRNA from 1 species